rnacentral:rRNA from 1 species
AACUAUUGCACAAUGGGCGCAAGCCUGAUGCAGCCGAUGCCGCGUGUAUGAAGAAGGUCCUUCGGGUUGUAAAGUACUUUCAGCAGUGAGGAAGGUGGGUAUGUUAAUAGCAUAUUCUAUUUGACGUUAGCUGCAGAAGAAGCACCGGCUAACUCCGUGCCAGCAGCCGCGGUAAUACGGAGGGUGCGAGCGUUAAUCGGAAUUACUGGGCGUAAAGCGCAUGCAGGUGGUUUGUUAAGUCAGAUGUGAAAGCCCGGGGCUCAACCUCGGAAUUGCAUUUGAAACUGGCAAACUAGAGUACUGUAGAGGGGGUAGAAUUUCAGGUGUAGCGGUGAAAUGCGUAGAGAUCUGAAGGAAUACCGGUGGCGAAGGCGGCCCCCUGGACAGAUACUGACACUCAGAUGCGAAAGCGUGGGGAGCAAACAGGAUUAGAUACCCUCGGUAG